AAGUCGUAACAAGGUAACCGUAGGUGAACCUGCGGUUGGAUCAUUAACAAAAGUGUGAGGAGUCUGCUCCUUGCUAUGAGAUGCGGCUAUGGCCAAGUCUCUCUACCUUUUGUGAACUGUUAAUUGUCUCUGGUAGUGAAUGUUGGUCUGUGGGCCAGCACUCCUGCCAGUAAUCAACCUUGAGUAUUAUCUAGUCUUAGCUACUUGAAAAAGUAAACAACUUUUGACAAUGGAUCUCUUGGCUCUU
rnacentral:misc_RNA from 1 species